UUGUUUUCCCACUUCUCCCCUCUGAAGAAAUAGUUGCUCCAUAGAAAAUCCUCCACAGUACUGAAAUGAGGCUGCCUCACCAUUGGGGAUAGUGAAAAGGACAAUUUCCUUUGAACACACUCAUUUUCUGAUUGAAGAGAAUACAGAGAAUGUGGAUUUUCCUGGUGCCAAGUUGUUCUUCCAUUCCUCGGCCAAGUUUCCAUUCUGAUUAACUCAAGAUUCACUUGGAACCCUUUCCUUGCUAUGGCCAUUAAUCCUAAACUGCUUUAUCAGGAACUUGGCCCAAUCUGAGUUAGUUUCCUUCCUUGGAUACCUGCCUUAAACCAGAUCCUCAAACCUCAUAAAUAUCCCUCCUAGAAAAUAAGACUCUGUCAAGGGAGUAUUCUUUCUUAUUUCAGUAGGCAAUGAACUUGAUGCUGUUUUAUCAACAAGUUGAUUAAGUGAUGAUUAGGGUAUCAGUAAUCAACAUUGAUUUGAACCCUGGCUAGCUACAACACUUCCUAGCUGUGUGAUCUUGGGAAACAUUUCUGAGAUGGUUAAUACUGAGUGUCAACUUGAUUGGACUGAAGGAUGUAAAGUAUUGUUCCUGGGUGUGUCUGUAAGGGUGUUGCCAAAGGAGAUCAAUGGACUGGGAGAGGCAGACCCACCCUCAAUCUGGGUGGGCACCAUCUAACCAACUGCUAGCGUGGCUAGAAUAAAGCAGGCAGAAGGACGUGGAAGGACUUGACUUCCUGAAUCUUCUGGUCCUCAUCUUUUCCCCGUGCUGGAUGCUUGCUGCCCUCAAACAUCGGACUCCAAGUUCUUCAGCUUUGGGACUCUUGGACUUACAAGCUCUCUGGCCUUCGGCAACAGACUGAAGGCUGCACUUUCGGAUUCCCUACUUUUGAGAUUUUGGGACUCAGACUGGCUUCCUGGUUCCUCAGCUUGCAGACGGCCUAUUGUAGGACUUCACAAGGUGAUGUCAAUUCUCCUAAUAAAUGCCCCUUCAUCAUAUAUACAUCUAUCCUAUUUGUUCUGUCCCUCUAGAGAAACCUAAUACAAUUUCUUAACCUG